UCUAUAGCUCAGCUGGAUAGAGCAACGGCCUUCUAAGCCGUAGGUCGCAGGUUCGAAUCCUGCUAGG
rnacentral:tRNA from 1 species